rnacentral:lncRNA from 1 species
CGAAAUAUAUGGGGGAUUUGUAUCUCUUGACGUACUUAAGCCUGAGGAAUACAAAGGUGGAGUUGCUUCCAGACUCCAUAGGCAAUCUGCUAAAUUUAGAAACGCUGGAUCUAAAACAGUCUUUGGUGUAUGAUAUAUUGAGAGACCUAACCCAGUCACAAUUUAGUUACAACAGUAAAUAGUUAGUUGUGGUAUUUGUGUAAUUAGUUGUAGAAGAUAAGGUCACUUAUGUAAAGAGUCUUAGUGACUAUAUAUAUCUCAAUGUACUAUCAGUUAAAAUAUAAUGAGAAAUAUCUUCUUCAACAUUUCUACAUGGUAUCAGAGAACUUUGAGCAGUGGUUUGAAAAAGACCAAAACCUCUUGAUUUGGCUCAACUCGACUUUAUCCGAAGAUCUCAUUCCCUUCACGGUAGGGGUGUCCACAUCUCGAGAACUUUGGCAGAAGCUUGAACAACGCUUUGGUGGCGUCUCUGAAGCUCACAUUCACCAGCUUCGUUCUCGUCUUCAAUUGAUUCAAAAAGGAUCUCAAUCGAUCUCGGAAUAUCUACAGCAAAUCAAGGAAAUUUCGGAUUCUCUCAAUGCUGCUGGCGCCACUGUAUCUGAUCGUGAUCUCAUUGCCGCAACGCUUCACGGUCUUCCUGAUGAAUUUGAGUCCUUUAUUGACUCCAUCAUGCUGCGGUUGUCUUCUACUUCUCUUGAUGAAUUGCAUGGUCUGUUGCUGACCAAAGAGCUUUCCCUGGCUCGUCGCAAGCACACUCUGUCUCCCACUGCUACGGAGCCCUUUCAAGCUUUCUCUGUUCAGUCUCAAGCACCUUUGCUCCCAACGCCUUUUUCGCAGGCUUUUGCUGCAUAUAGUCAGCCUCUUCAAUCUUCUUCUCGGUAUAAUUCUAACAGAGGCCGGAACAAUCGCAAUUUUUUCCGAGGCAAUCGAAAUGUCAGUAAUUCACAAGUCAGCCUCGUACCUUUCAUCAAGGCUCCCGAUCUAACAACCAAGGUUCUUCAUCAAAUCAUAAGAACACCUGUCAAAUAUGUGGUUCCACCAGCCACGAAGCAAUUGAUUGUUUUGAUAGGAUGAAUCCUGAGAUCUUUGGCCGGGUGCCACCAGCCAAACUUGCUGCUCUUUGUGCUCACUACUCAUCCAAACCAUCCCCAUCUUGGCUAUUGGAUUCUGGAGCCACCUCACAUAUCACGAAUGACAUUGCAAAUCUCUCUGUUGCCUCUCCUUACACUGGUGAAGACAAGGUCUAUAUAGGAGAUGGUAAAGGUCUGCCUAUUCACAAUAUUGGUAUCUCUUCUUUAGAUACAUCUCAUACUUCCUUCAAGUUGCGUAAUGUCUUACAUGUACCUGCUAUGAAACACAACUUAUUAUCUGCCUAUCAAUUUUUAAAAGAUAAUAAUUGUGCCUUGACUCUUGACCCUGAUGGAUCCACUGUAAAGGAUCGAGUUUCGGGGAAGACGCUUUUGCGGGGACGAGUUGAAGAUGGCUUAUAUCCUCUUCAAGGCUCUAGUCAUCCCACCUCCUCAUCACCCUCGGCUUUAAUAAGUGUCAAAGCUCCUGUCCAAAUUUGGCACCGAAGAUUGGGUCAUCCAUCUUCCUCUAUUUUUCGCAAGGUUCUUUCAGGAAAUAAGCUUGUCGUGCAAGGCAAAACCUGCUGGUGAUCUUUUCUGCUCAGAUUGUGCUUUAGCUAAGAGUCACAAGCUUCCUUUUGGUUCUGCCAGUUCUACAAGUACUCACAGUCUGCAACUACUACACUGUGAUUUUGGGGUCCUGCCUCCAUCACUUCUCCUAGUGGCUUUAAGUACUACUUGUUGCUUGUAGAUGAUUUCAGUAGAUAUAGUUGGUUAUUUCCAUUAAAGGCAAAAUCUGAUGCCUAUUCUACUUUUGUUGUAUUCAAACAAUAUGUAGAAAAUCUCCUUGGAAAUAAAAAUCAAAAUUUUGCAGUCAGAUUCAGGGGGUGAAUUCAUUGGUGCUCAGUUUGAGUCUUUUCUUCACACUCAUGGUAUUAUUCAUCGUUUAACCUGUCCUCACACUCCUGAACAAAAUGGCUGUGCUGAAAGAAAACACCGCCAUAUUGUGGAAACUGCCCGCACAUUACUGGUUGCUUCUAAUGUUCCACAUCUUUAUUGGGUGGAAGCUUUUUCCACGGCUGUGUAUCUUAUUAACAGGUUGCCAAUCUCUGGCCUCUCUACAUCUCCUUGGGAAUUACUCUUCUUCAAGCCACCUGAUUACUCCAGACUCAAAGUCUUUGGCUGUCGAUGUUUCCCGUGGCUCAAACCUUAUACUCAUUCCUAGCUGGACGCUAAAAGCAAAAGCUGUGUGUUUCUGGGGUACAGUUUACAGCACAAAGGUUAUAGAUGCCUUGAUCCAGUCACUAAUCGUCUCUACAUUUCCAGACAUGUGCAGUUUGAUGAAGCCACAUAUCCUUUUCAGUCUUCUCCUACCAUCCCUGGUCUGUCUUCAGACUCUGUUACCGCUCCCAUUGAUCUGCAGUUCUCCGUUUCUCAACAUCCUGGUGUUCUUCCUGGCCCUUUGGUUCCAGAUUCAAGUCUACACGUUGGCCAUACUCCAGAGUCCAUUUCUCCUACUGCUGCUCCAAGUACAGAUUCUCUGAAUAAUGCAUCUGUAUCUUCUCCUGCAACAACUAUGUCCCUGCCCCCUUCCAAUACUCACCCCAUGCUCACUCGCUCCAAAGCUGGUAUCUUCAAGCCCAAAGUUUAUGCAGCUACCAAACAUCCUCUUCCAUCUGCUAUUGACUUUAUUCCAUCUACAUAUCUGCAAGCAUCCAAACAUGCUCAUUGGAGAUCUGCCAUGCAAGAUGAGUUUAAUGCAUUACAAUCAACAGGCACCUGGACCCUUGUUCCUCCAUCUUCCUCCUACAAUGUGGUUGGCUGCAAGUGGGUGUUCCGAAUCAAGAAGAAACCUGAUGGUUCUGUUGAGCGCUUUAAAGCUCGUUUAGUUGCAAAGGGGUAUCAUCAACAGGAAGGUAUCGAUUUUCAAGAGACCUUCAGUCCUGUGGCUAAACCAGUCACCAUUAGAAUCCUUUUGUCUCUUGCUGUGCAGUUCAAUUGGUUUCUAAAUCAGUUAGACAUCAGUAAUGCCUUUCUUCAUGGUGAUUUGAAGGAAGAUGUGUACAUGCAGCAGCCUCCCGGUUUCUCUGAUCCUUCUAUGCCGCAUCAUGUCUGCAAAUUAAGGAAAUCCCUUUAUGGUCUCAAACAAGCCCCUCGGGCUUGGUUUGACAAACUGUUUCAAGCUCUUCUUCAGCUUGGUUUUCAGCAAUCUUCCUCAGAUGCUUCCUUAUUUGUUCUCCCUGGUCCUACUCCUGUCAUGGUGCUUGUGUAUGUAGAUGAUAUAUUAGUCACUGGACCUGACUCUUCCUUAUGCAGUCUCUUCAUUCAAAAUCUCGGUACUAUUUUUCCAGUCAAGGAUUUGGGUCCACUACACUACUUCCUGGGUUUAGAAAUUCAUAGAUCUUCCACAGGUCUCUUCCUCCAUCAAACAAAGUAUUUACUUGAUCUUCUCCGGAAAACUAAUAUGGCUGGUGCGAAGCCUUGCUGCACUCCCCUUGGCUCUAACAAAUUGGAUCACAGUGGUCCUCUUUUCUCUCAUCCCACUGAGUAUCGUUCCAUUGUUGGUGGUUUACAUUUGACAUGGACACGUCCAGAUAUUUCGUUUGCUGUGAAUCAAAUCUGUCAGUUCAUGCAUGCUCCUCGAGACCAACACAUGCAAGCUGCCAAACGGAUUCUUCGUUAUCUCAAGGGUACUGUCUCUGAAGGUCUAUGGUUCAGAAAGGGUACCACUAAUCUCACAGCCUUCUCCGAUGCAGACUGGGCUGGCUGUCUCUUUGAUCGCCGUUCUACUAGUGGUUACAAUGUCUUUCUCGGAUCCAAUCUUAUCAGUUGGAGUGCCAAGAAACAGGCUACUGUGGCACGGUCCUCCACAGAGGCGGAAUACAGAUCUCUAGCCCACACUGCAGCUGAACUGACUUGGAUCUGUAAAAAUUUUCGUGACCUUGGUUUUCCUCUCUCUCAGGCUCCCACUCUCUGGUGUGAUAACAUUUCAGCCAUCUCUCUUGCUUCUAAUCCGGUCUUUCAUGCCCGAACUAAACAUGUGGAGAUUGACUAUCAUUAUAUUCGUGAGUUGGUCUUAGCUAAUCUCAUCAAGGUUCACUUUGUUUGUAGUCAGGAUCAGCUUGCUGACAUACACACCAAGUCUAUGUCCAAAAGUCGUUUUGCUGCUCUCAAGUCCAAGCUUCCUCUUGUUUCUUCAAUUGAUCCCAAGCUCAGCUUGCGGGGGUGUAUUGAGAGACCUAACCCAGUCACAAUUUAGUUACAACAGUAAAUAGUUAGUUGUGGUAUUUGUGUAAUUAGUUGUAGAAGAUAAGGUCACUUAUGUAAAGAGUCUUAGUGACUAUAUAUAUCUCAAUGUACUGUCAGUUAAAAUAUAAUGAGAAAUAUCUUCUUCAACAUUUCUA